GUUGGGAGGAAGUGCAGGGAGCCUCUCAGGUUUGCUGGUGUCUGGCUUAGUCCAAGGAGGGGUUCAAGGGUCUUGUACCCCCACCUCAGCUGGGACCCCAAACCUCCUCAGCUCACCUCUCCCUCUCCCACGAGCCCUUCCACUCAGAAUGGCUACAGAGCAGGGUUCAGGAUCUUCCCAGGUGCUGCAGCCCAGCCAGGAUAUGGAAACGGGCUGGGAGCAGCGGCCUUCCCAGUGGCCGGAGCCCAGCCAGGAAUGGGGAGCAGAAGUGGUUUGGGUGUUGGCACUCUUCCAGGGACAGGAACCCCACCAGGUGAGGGUGGCUGGGCAGGGGCCGCAGGGAGGUGCGGGCAGGAGGGUUUAGGGUCCCAACCCUCAUUCUUAGGGGAGGAGCUAUUGGGGUCAAUGUCAGCCUCUUUCUAGCUCUCCCCCGGCCUGGGGAAGAGGGAACCUCAGAAGCGGAUGAAGGGAGGACCCUGCCCGCGUGCCACCCCCAUGCCAUGCUCACCAUGUCCUGUUCCUCUCUGUCCCCCUCUCAGUCUGUGUUACCCUCCCCAGGCACUGGUCCCUCUGUGGCCUGCCAAUGCCAUUCCUGUGGGUGGGGACUCCUGUGGAGGCCUCUGAGCUGCUCCCUGGGCAUGCGCCCUUAGUGAACUGUCAGGGCGUGGGGCACAGCGGCCCUGGGUGGUGUUUGGACCAUGGACCCGCACUCCACAUGGCCUAACUCCAGCCUCUGCCUCCCUCACCCCACAGGCCCAAAACCAGGUCAGGGAGGGUAGGGUGGAGCUGAGAGCCUGGGCUUGGGUCUGGGGGCUCCAGGGAGCUGCAGGCUCCUUUAACUGGUCUCUCUCUCUAUUCCUGGCAUGGGGCGGAGGGUGAAACCUCUGAAGACAGGUGUGCCUGCCCUUUCCUGUGUCCCUGUCCUCCACUCCCCACACACACACAUCCAGCCCCACCUCUGCUUCCUCCUUCUACUCGGUCUCCCAAGAUCUGGUGAUGGGAAUGGGAUGGGAGCUGGGUCCUUCCCAGGAGCUGGAGCCCAGUCAGGUGAGGGCAGCUGGACCACACUGGGAUUCUAGGAGACACAGGGAAGAACCAGGGGAUGUCAGAGGUCCAGAAGGCAGAAAGUUUAUUUCUGGGGCAGGACAGGGGAUGGGUGGGGUCCGUGAGCCCCUGCUCUCCCCUCCCCCAUCUUGACUGUUUCCCUGCAUCUAUGGCCUUGUCCCACCCUCACGCCCUCCCCAGACCCACCCCUCACACACUGCUUCUCCUCCCAGGACACAACAAUGGAAACGGACCGGGAACCCAGCCAGGUCAGGGCCGAAGGGGCUGGGGUGGCUGGGGGAGAGGUCAGGGGCCCAGGGCCACACUCUGGGUCCCAACAGAUGGGCUCUUGGGGGUUCAUUCAUUCACCCAAUCUCCCCUGAGCACCCGUCCCAAGCCAGGCCUCUGCUGGCUACGGAGGACACCCAAGCUGGUCAGCGGUGGCCACGGUCUGGACUCCCAGGCCAAGAACCAAAUCCAACUUCGACUGCAGUCAGGCCUGGGAGGGAAUUCACACAAGACAGAAAGGGAGAGGGCAGGGGUCACGAGAGACAGAAAGGGAGAGGGCAGGGCUCCAGGCUGCAGCUCAUUCCCACUGCACUACCAUCCACACUCCUGUGUCUGCCCUCAAACAGGUCCUGCCGCUCAAAAUGGCUUUGGACCAGGUAAAGAGGGUGGGGACGGAAGCGGGGAGCCUGGGGCUGAGAUUCUGGGCACAGGCCCAGAGGAAAGGAUCCCUCACCCUCUCAUCUUCCCCCCAGGCUUUGGAGGGGGUGGAAAACCCCAGAAGCCAGGUGAGCCACACCCUGUCCCUGUCUCCCUGCCCAUUUCCUAUGCAUCCGCCGCUGCUUCCCUAGAGUCCCUGAUCUCCCCAUUCUCUUUGGCUCUGUCUCCUGGGAUUUGGGAAUAGGAAUGGGUGGGGAGUCGGGGCCUUCCUGGGAGCUGGAACCCAGGCAGGUGAGGCCCUGGAGUUCUGGGAGCAUGGAGGUCUUGGGGGUUGGGGGUUACUGAUGUGGGGGCCUGGUCCUGGUCCUGAGCAGAGAGGAAGGGAUGGGUGGACUCACAGGAAGUCUUUCCCCUUCUCUUCCCAGGCCUGGGAGGGGAACUAAAGCCUCAGAGAGCAGGCGAGCCCCAACCUCUAGCCUCCCAACUUGGUCUCACACAACAAACCUCAUUCAACAAACCAAUCCAGGCCUGGAGCAGUGGCUAAGACCUGUAAUCCCAACUGUUCGGGAGGCAGAGUUAGGUGGAUAAAUUGAGCCCAAGAGUUCAAGACCAGCCUGGGCAACAUUCCCAAGCUGGUCUUGAACUCUUGGGCUCAAGCAAUCCAUCUACAAAAAAAAAAAAAAAAAAAAAAAAAAAAUACAAAACCUAGCCACUUGUGUUGGCACGUACCUGUAGUCCCAGCUACUCUGGAGGCUGAGAGGGGAGGAUCACUUGAGCCCAGGAGGUCGAGGUAGUGGUGAGUGGAGAUCUCGCCACUGUACUCCAGCCUGGGUGACAGAAGGAGAUCCUGUUUAAAAAACAAACGGGCCGGGCACAGUGGCUCACGCCUGUAAUCCCAGCACUUUGGGAGGCUGAGGCGGGUGGAUCACAAGGUCAGGAGAUCAAGACCAUCCUGGCUAACACAGUGAAACGCCGUCUUUACUGAAAAUACAAAAAAAUUAGUCGGGCGUGGUAGUGGGCACCUGCAGUCCCAGCUACUCGGGAAGCUGAGGCAGGAGAAUGGCGUGAAUGCAGGAGGCAGAGCUUGCAGUGAGCCGAGAUCGCGCCACUGCACUCCAGCCUGGGCGACAAAGCGAGACUCCGUCUCAAAAACAAACAAACAAACAACAAACAACCAAAGUAAUCCAUGGACCACGCCUGUUCUGAGCCAACCAGGUGCUGGGGACAGGCCCUCCCCAACCAGGGCAACACUGGGGCACACAGUAUGGGCUGAGGCUGCCCCAGAGCUGGGCUCUGGCCAUUCUGGGUAGGAGGCAGUGGAGGCCAGGGAGGAGAGAGUGGCCCAACCCUCUGAGAAACUGAACCAAAAAGAGAGUUUUGAACAAAGAAGGUACAGGCUCCAGCAAGAUCUCAGACCUGGCCGGGCGCGGUGGCUCAUGCCUGUAAUCCUAGCACUUCGGGAGGCCUAGGUGGGUGGAUCACUUGAGGUCAGGAGUUCGAGACCAACCUGGCCAACAUGGUGAAACUCCGUCUCUACUAAAAAUACUAAAAAUUAGCCAGGCGUGGUGGCAGGCACCUGUAAUCCCAGCUACUCAGGAGCCUGAGGCAGGAGAAUCGCUUGAACCCCGGAGGCGGAGGUUGCAGUGAGCCAAGAUCACGCCAUUGCUCUCCAGCCUGGGCAACAAGAGCGAGACUCCAUCUC
rnacentral:sRNA from 1 species